GACGAACGCUGGCGGCGUGCUUAACACAUGCAAGUCGAACGGAAAGGCCCUGCUUUUGUGGGGUGCUCGAUUGGCGAACGGGUGAGUAACACGUGAGUAACCUGCCCUUGACUUUGGGAUAACUUCAGGAAACUGGGGCUAAUACCGGAUAGGAGCUCCUGCUGCAUGGUGGGGGUUGGAAAGUUUCGGCGGUUGGGGAUGGACUCGCGGCUUAUCAGCUUGUUGGUGGGGUAGUGGCUUACCAAGGCUUUGACGGGUAGCCGGCCUGAGAGGGUGACCGGCCACAUUGGGACAGAGAUACGGCCCAGACUCCUACGGGAGGCAGCAGUGGGGAAUAUUGCACAAUGGGCGGAAGCCUGAUGCAGCAACGCCGCGUGCGGGAUGACGGCCUUCGGGUUGUAAACCGCUUUCGCCUGUGACGAAGCGUAAGUGACGGUAAUGGGUAAAGAAGCACCGGCUAACUCCGUG
rnacentral:rRNA from 1 species